rnacentral:rRNA from 1 species
UACGUAGGUGACAAGCGUUGUCCGGAAUUAUUGGGCGUAAAGAGCUCGUAGGCGGUCUGUCGCGUCUGCUGUGAAAACUCAGGGCUUAACCCCGGGCCUGCAGUGGGUACGGGCAGACUAGAGUGCGGUAGGGGAGACUGGAAUUCCUGGUGUAGCGGUGAAAUGCGCAGAUAUCAGGAGGAACACCGGUGGCGAAGGCGGGUCUCUGGGCCGUAACUGACGCUGAGGGGCGAAAGCAUGGGGAGCGAACAGG